GCAUCUGUGGCCGAGAGGCCGAAGGCAGCGGACUCAUGAAUCCGCCAUCUUAUUAAGGACGUCGCUGGUUCGAAUCCAGCCAGAUGCACU
rnacentral:tRNA from 4 species